rnacentral:rRNA from 1 species
CCUACGGGAGGCAGCAGUGGGGAAUAUUGCACAAUGGGGGGAACCCUGAUGCAGCAACGCCGCGUGGGUGAAGAAGCACUCCGGUGCGUAAAGCUCUGUCAGCAGGGAAGAAAAUGACAGUACCUGGACAAGAAACCCCGGCUAACUACGGUCCAGCAGCCGGGGUAAUACGUAGGGGGCAAGCGUUAUCCGGAAUGACUGGGCGUAAAGGGGGCGGUGGUGGGUUGACAAGUUAGUAGGGAAAUCCCAGGGCUCAACUUCGGGACUACUACGAAAACUGUUGGGCUUGAGUGCAGGAGAGGUGAAUGGAAUUCCUAGUGUAGCGGUGGAAUGCGUAGAUAUUAGGAGGAACACCAGCGGCGAAGGCGAUUCACUGGACUGUAACUGACACUGAGGCACGAAAGCGUGGGGAGCAAACAGGAUUAGAUACCCGGGUAGUC